CCUACGGGUGGCAGCAGUGAGGAAUAUUGGUCAAUGGGCGCGAGCCUGAACCAGCCAAGUAGCGUGAAGGAUGACUGCCCUACGGGUUGUAAACCUCUUUUAUAAAGGAAUAAAGUGAGGCACGUGUGCCUUUUUGUAUGUACUUUAUUAAUAAGGAUCGGCUAACUCCGUGCCAGCAGCCGCGGUAAUACGGAGGAUCCGAGCGUUAUCCGGAUUUAUUGGGUUUAAAGGGGGCGUAGAUGGGUUGUUAAGUCAGUUGUGAAAUCUUGCGGCUCAACCGUAAAAUUGCAAUUGAUACUGGCAGACUUGAGUACAGAUGAGGUAGGCGGAAUUCGUGGUGUAGCGGUGAAAUGCUUAGAUAUCACGAAGAACUCCGAUUGCGAAGGCAGCUUACUAAACUGCCACUGACGUUGAUGCACGAAAGUGUGGGUAGCGAACAGGAUUAGAUACCCGAGUAGUC
rnacentral:rRNA from 1 species